rnacentral:lncRNA from 1 species
CAAAUAACCUGUUUUACUGAGGCUGCGACUCCCACCUCAGUUCGCUAGCCUCACUGCUUAUCUCGGUUGACAACGUUCAUGGCCUCUGCUGGAUGGCUCCCAUAGUCGAGUUGGUGCUUACAGAGGCUUUCUGGCAUGGAGGUGUCAAAUAGAGCACAUAGAAACAAGGAUCCACUUCAUGCUGCCUGCUUACAGUUUUUGAGAAUGGAGAAAAAUUAAGGAUUUCUCAUUGAAGAACCACAACUAAGAAGCCCUGACACAUAUGUCCUACCUUCAAGGACCUCACAGUGAAGAAGGCUGGCUGAUCAUGCUACAGGUUACCGGGCAUGGUCUUUUCUUUAUCUGGACCUUUGACCCUCGACCCACAAGCAAAGGUUCCGGUGACUGACUUCCAGGCUAGCGUUCUGGGGGAUACUGGAAAGAAGACCAUUUUCUCUCCAGUGGAGAUUGCUAAUCAAACUAUGCAGCUUCUCUGGGGAAGAUGACUCUGUCAGGUUUGAUUGGAGCUGUGGGCCCUGAUGCCCAACCUGACAGCCCUGAUAGGCUGAGGGCCUGCUCUCUAGAAGCAAGAGGAACGAAUGUUACCUUCCAUGCCUUACCUCUUGCUCAGGCUGAGUCCUACCAAGCCUGAUAAGAGAGCUGUCCCGGGAGGUGAACCGGGAGAAUUUCAAGAAAAUGGUGAGAUUUUGGCAAUUUGGGUA